rnacentral:rRNA from 1 species
UGAAUUGCCAAUGGGGGAAAGCCNGANUCUCAACUGCCCUAANCCGAAAAGAAGGNCUUCUUUCCCGUAAAGCUCUGAAUUCAGGGACGAUAAUGACGGUACCUGAGGAGGAAGCCACGGCUAACUACGUGCCAGCAGCCGCGGUAAUAAAA